rnacentral:rRNA from 1 species
UUUGAUCCUGGCUCAGAACGAACGCUGGCGGCGCGCCUAAUACAUGCAAGUCGAACGAGAAUGUGUAGCAAUACACAUGUAAAGUGGCGAACGGGUGAGGAUUACAUGGGUAACCUACCCUCGAGUGGGGAAUAACCAGCCGAAAGGUUGGCUAAUACCGCGUACGCUUCCGGAACUGCGGUUUCGGAAGGAAAGCGAUACCGUGGGUAUCGCGCUCUUGGAUGGGCUCAUGCCCUAUCAGCUUGUUGGUGAGGUAACGGCUCACCAAGGCUUCGACGGGUAGCUGAUCUGAGAGGAUGAUCAGCCACACUGGCACUGCGACACGGGCCAGACUCCUACGGGAGGCAGCAGUAAGGAAUAUUGCGCAAUGGGCGAAAGCCUGACGCAGCG